rnacentral:rRNA from 1 species
GGAGUUAGCCGGUGCUUCUUCUGUGAGUGAUGUCCUUCCUGCCGGCUAUUAACCCGCAGGCCUUCUUCCUCACUGAAAGUGCUUUACAACCCGAAGGCCUUCUUCACACACGCGGCAUGGCUGGAUCAGGGUUGCCCCCAUUGUCCAAUAUUCCCCACUGCUGCCUCCCGUAGGAGUCUGGGCCGUGUCUCAGUCCCAGUGUGGCUGAUCAUCCUCUCAGACCAGCUACGGAUCGUCGCCUUGGUGAGCCGUUACCUCACCAACCAGCUAAUCCGACAUAGGCUCAUCCGAUAGCGCGAGGCCCGAAGGUCCCCCGNUUUCCCCCGUAGGGCGUAUGCGGUAUUAGCCUGGGUUUCCCCCAGGUUAUCCCCCACUACCGGGCAGAUUCCUAUGCAUUACUCACCCGUCCGCCGCUCGCCACCAGGGAGCAAGCUCCCCGUGCUGCCGCUCGACUUGCAUGUGUUAGGCCUGCCGCCAGCGUUCAAUCUGAGCCAGAAUCGAACCCUGA